UGCGUAGGCGGACUAAUAAGUCAGUGGUGAAAUCUUUCGGCUCAACCGAGAAACUGCCAUUGAUACUGUUAGUCUUGAGUUCGGUUGAGGUAGGCGGAAUGUGUAGUGUAGCGGUGAAACGCUUAGAUAUUACACAGAACACCAAUUGCGUAGGCAGCUUACUAGACCGACACUGACGCUGAGGCACGAAAGCGUGGGGAGCGAACAGGAUUAGAUACCCUGGUAGUCC
rnacentral:rRNA from 1 species